GAUUUUAUAGUUAAUAUAUAAUAUUAGACUGCAAUUCUAAAGUAGAAUUUUUCUAAAAUCU
rnacentral:tRNA from 1 species